GAGUGAUCUGUCUGUGACAUCUGUGACACUGAUUGCUAAGGCUGACUAGGCUGAUCUGGCUGACUAGGCAGUGUCCCCUUUCCCCCUCAUGUGCAGCCCUUUGGAAGUUGUACUUGCACUUGAUAGGAGACAAAUUUGUCUGAAGAGAAACAGACCAGUCUUUUGUUGAGGAUAUAGCAGUAGCUGUGCUCCCCCAGCUAAAACCUUUAAAUAAAUUCUCAUACUCUGGUUUCUCUUCAGAUUGCAUAAAUUCUCAAGAAGAAACUCUACACCUGUAACAAUAUUCUGGCAUUUCUU
rnacentral:snRNA from 1 species